rnacentral:rRNA from 1 species
AGCGAACGCUGGCGGCAGGCCUAACACAUGCAAGUCGAACGAAGUCUCCGGACUUAGUGGCGGACGGGUGAGUAACACGUGGGAACGUACCUUUUGGUUCGGAACAACUCAGGGAAACUUGAGCUAAUACCGAAUGUGCCCUUAGGGGGAAAGAUUUAUCGCCAUUAGAGCGGCCCGCGUUAGAUUAGCUAGUUGGUGGGGUAAAGGCCCACCAAGGCUACGAUCUAUAGCUGGUCUGAGAGGAUGAUCAGCCACACUGGGACUGAGACACGGCCCAGACUCCUACGGGAGGCAGCAGUGGGGAAUCUUGCGCAAUGGGCGAAAGCCUGACGCAGCCAUGCCGCGUGAAUGAUGAAGGUCUUAGGAUUGUAAAAUUCUUUCAGUAGGGACGAUAAUGACGGUACCUACAGAAGAAGCCCCGUCUAACUUCGUGCCAGCCGCCGCAGUAA